CACCGCCACCAUACCGGCUUCCUCCACCGUAUCCACCACCAUACCCACUGUCACCGCCAUAUCCACCACGGCUACCCCCACGGCCACCACCGUAUCCUCCACCAUAACCACCACCACCACGGCCUCCUCCGCCUCCACCGCUACGUGACCCACCAGAAACAGCAGCACCAUCAGGUCCAGUAACAUCAACAGCCUUAGUACGUCCAUCACUACCAUUCUCAACCUCGUACUCAACAGCCUCACCUUCAGCUAAACUCCUAAAACCCUCAGAUCUGAUACCUGAUUGAUGAACAAACAGAUCUUCGCUGCCAUCAUCAGGAGUGAUAAAACCAAAACCCUUCUGGUCAUUGAACCACUUCACGGUACCCUUAGCCCUCUGUCCACUUUCUUCCGCCAUUUUUUUUCUCACAAACAGAAACCCUAAAAAGCCUUUUUGUGUUCUCCUUGGUAUUGUCACCGUGGAGUAUUUAUCAAAGGGGUGGCGAAAUUAUAUAGUGAGGCUCAGUGCCCCACGUUUUUCUGGGCCCAGAAAACAGUGGGCCAUAAAUAUCAAUAAGGUUAAUUACAUGUUUUAAAAAUAAAUUACUGUAUCAUAUAUCAAAUUAUUUAUAUUUGAGAUUAUAAAUAUUAACCAAUAAAAAUCAUUUGCGUAAAUCAAGUUUUUCGGAUUUCUUUUUUAGCGGAGCGAAUACGCCUUGCAUACUAGAAAAGGUAAAUUUUGAUGAUGCUUUUUUUUUAGUGGUGAUAAUAUGCCUUGAAUGCUAGAAAAGGUAAAUACUGAUAGUCAUAUUAGUCAACACCUAUGCAAUAUAGAUACUAAUACUGCAUAAUAGAAUCACUACAAAUCUACAAUAUUGUUAAUUUACGACAAAUACUGAAUAUUUCUAAUGUGUUAAGGGUUUUUAAUCCAAUUAAUAGGAGUGAUAAAUUUAGUCGAAUAAGUAAUAAGAAGAGACAAUCUGAUCCAAUAAGUAAUAAAUUCAAUCUAUUUAUUAGUUUCCUUUUGGACAUGAAAAUCAUAAUUCUCCUAAGUUGAAAUUGAAAUUGUGUUUAGCAAUUAAUAUGAAUUAAAGUUGUUUUUGAAAUUUUGUGAAGAAAAUUACUUGUUUUUACUUUUUCACAUAUAAUUUUAAAUUAUAUUUAAAAAAUUUAUGAUCAAAUACAUACUACUAAAAUAAAAUAACUUGACAAAAGAAAAUAAAUUUUUUUGACUUGGUCUCUUCGGAAAGAUUCUGCGUUUUUGCCCUGAUUUUCUUACUAUAUUUAAGUUUAUCUUUUAUUAGAAGGAAAAUAAAAGUUAUCAUAAUUACUUUUACUUUUCCUAAAAGAAAAAUAUAAAACUUUUUCAUAUUUUACAAACCUCUUUCUUAGAGAAAUGUUUUGUAACUCUAUAAAGAUCUCUCUUCUCAAAACAUAACAAAAUAACAUUCACAAUGUAGUCGUUUAAAGAAUUUUGUUUAGGAGAAGAUUUUCUCUCUAAUAGUUUUAUGUUUUCUUUCAUAUUAAGUUUUUAUAUGUAGGUCGAUUGACCAAACUAUAUAAUCAUUAUGUUUUUAGUAUGUUUUUCUUUUCAUCUGAUUUAUCGUCUCAAUAGUUUACAACUAAUAGCUUCCGCAUGACGCCCUCUCAAUUUCGAACUCAACACUGUCAUGGGCCCUAUAGCUACCAAGUAUAGUUGUAGAUGGGGAGGGGCAAGUCAAAAUAUGUAGCUUAAUAGUCAAAUUGCAAUGCAUUUGUAAUUUUCACAACUAUUUUAUCUGUUUUUCAGUCCAUAUCACUGUUGGAUACUCAUCGACGUACCUUUUUACAAAGGACCAAUAAAUAUCUUGAAAUGUCUAGGUCAAAAUUGUUGAAGGUUUUUUUUAAGGUUUUUUUUUUCUUUUUUGGUUCUCAACAUUCAUAAAUGAAGCAAACAAGUGAAGAAAGACGUCGCUAUAAUUCGUUGAUAUUCAAAACCCAAGUCCAUGUCUUCAAGCAAAGUGGAGAAAUUACACUCCUCAAUGGCUGAUGAAAGAAUCAGGAAUGAGGAUGUUGUGUUGGAUGUGUGGUCUCACUACAAGGGAUAGAGUCAGGAAUGAGAUUAUCCGAAAGAAGGUGGGAGUGGCUUCGGUGGAGGACAAGAUGAGAGAAGAAAUGUUGAGAUGGUUUGAGCAUGUGAUGAGGAGGAGCACGAAUGCCCUUGUUCGGAGGUGUGAGACUAGCUUUAGAUGGUUUCAGGAAGGGUAAAGGUAGGUCAAAGAAAUACUGGAGGGAGGUGAUUAAGCAUGACAUGGAGCAACUGCAGCUUACUGAGGACAUGACUCUAAACAGGAAGUGUGGAGGUCGCGGAUUAUAAUUGAAGGCUAGUGUGAGUGUGUGGAUUGUGGCUAGAUGUUAGGAGAGUGUGGGGUGGUAGUCCUCUUAGGUCUGUAAAUGUAUGGUUUACUACUAGGAGAGUAUCCGUUUUCCUAUUUCUUAUUUCGUAUUGCUUGUACUUUACUUAUUUUGUAUUUUUCUUGAUAUUUACUGUUAUUAUUUUAUCGUUUAUUUCUGUUGUGUCAUAUAUCCUGUUUCGAGUUGCAAUACGACCUUGCUAUACUAAUCUCUCUUGAGCCGGUGGUCUAUCGGAAACAGCCUCUCUACUUCUUCGGAGGUAACGAUAUGGACUGCGUACAUUUCACCCUCCCCAGACCUCACUAUGUGAGAAUAUACUGGGUUGUUGUUGAUGAAGGCCAUCCAGUCACAUAAAUAAAACAACAGCUGUGAAGAUAUUAAAAUACAAACUCGUCUACUCCAAACUACAUAAGCACUUUCACAUCAACGGCAACGGCAUUCAUACAUCACGGAUAUAUUCAAGCAUCAACUACCAUAACAAAACAAAAAUUGAAAAGCUUUCUCGAGAAACAUAAGGCAUACAAAUUGCACAAACAACUCUUCAACACCUCUCAUGGUCUUCCAAUGACUGUUCAGAUCAUAUUAUCAUCGAGUUAAUAGAGGUACAACAGGGGUCUUCUAUCCAUGUUUAAUUUCGACAUGGCAAAAAGCUCAUAGGUGGCUGUGGAGAGCCAGUGACUGGAGCGACCCGGAGAAAAUGGGCUUGCAACACAUGAGAAGCACCAAUGUGUCGAUUGGAUUAAUGAAAUUUGUCAUUGUAAGCACCCAACCACCAAAUAUAAAGCCCAUAAUAAACCUUAUUCUCUUCCUCUACGAAGAAACAAACUACUCCCUCCAUCCCAAAUUAUCCAUCCCAAAUUGAGACGACUCAUUAAUUAAGAAAAAUAAUUAAUAACAUAUCAAAUUUAUCACAGUAAAUAUAUUAAAUAAAAUUUAUAUAAAAAAUAAUUAAUACAAAGGAUAAAAUCUGAAAAAAAAAAAUAUCUAAAUUUGGAACGGAGGCAUAAAGGAUCGCGUAUGUAGGAAUGGCAAUGGGGCAGUGCAGGUUAAGCUAUGCUGUAUGAAUCAGGUUUUAAGUUAUGUGGUGUGGUGCGGGUGUGGUGAGGGUUAAAGUAAUUUAUUUUUUAAAUGGUGUGAUGGGGUAUAUGCGGAUUUGAAUUAACAAAAAAAAUUAAAAAUUAAUAUUGAUCUCGCAAAUAUACAAAAAUUAUAUAUGUUCUUUAUUUAAAUUUUAUGAUACUUAAAAUUACAUGCAUAACAGUACAAAUAAAUAAUUUUAUAGUAGCUUUUUUAAUAUCUCUAUUCAUUUGAAUAAAAAUAUGAUAUUUGAUCAUUACUUGUACGCGUUAUACUUUUUAACAAUUUUUUAAUGAAAAAUGACAUAAUAUAAAUUAGUUAUUAUUUUCUAGUGGUAGAUUUAAAAAUAUUAUGAUUUAUAAUAGAGCUAUAAAUUUUUCAAAAAAAAAAAAGAAAAAAAUAAAAACAUGAGGCGGUGUGGUUAUGAGUGUGGGACGAGUUUAUUCAGGUUUAAAUGUGAUGCGGUGCUUUUUUAAAACUUAUAGGUUUAGUAAAAACCCGCGUUUUAAAAACCCUAGGCGUACGCAUCUACCAAAUAGGGCAUUUAACAAUUACGGAUGUUCCUUUCCUUACAAACACAGGCUACAUAAAGGAUGGCUGGCAUACGUUUGCUUACUUAAAAGGAUAUUUAACCUUUUAUUGCACAUAAAAGACUGGUCAGUUUUCCCAACAAGUGAGUUACAGAUUAAACUUAAUAAUACUUGACAGUAAAUCAAAUGGGAAACGACUUGUGUUAAUAUUUUUAAAGUCCAAGGCAAAUAAACAAGCACCGAUCAAAUGGGAGAACGACUUUGUUCAAAUUAUUUUCAAGUUCAAGGCAAAUAAACACGCAUUGGCAUCAAGGCAUCUGAAAAAAAGGAUAGUUAACAUCUCAUCAACAAAUACAAAAAUAAUACAUAAAAUAAACUAGUCACCACAUUUCUUGAAAAAACACAAAUUCAAGCAGCAGCCGGAAUUAAUCAGAGGAAGCAAAGAAAAUAUUUCAGAGGAUAUUGCUCAACCAAAGAUAGAGACAGAUCACAAAAGAAAAAGCAGUCCAAGUCCACCUCCUAGUCAACCAUUAGACUCAACCACACCAUUUAUAUCAAAAAAGAAAUUAACAUGGACCAGCUAUACAAUAUAACAGCAUAAAAAUAUACAUAUCAAAAUUUAAAUAAAAAGUGUAGCCAAUAAUACAAACAGGACAUGGACACACAAAGGACCAUUUGCAACUAUAACCCAUACACUGAAUCAACACCACUGAAAUGCUUCAAACCACAGAAAGCACUGAAAGGAAUACUUGCAAAAUAAUAAAUCUAGCACCAGCAACGAUUGCAAAAAAAUGUAACUGUGAAAUUAAAGGGUCAAGAGACUAGCAGAAGCUGAAUAAUUGAUAUAGCUUCGAAAACAUGUAUGAAAGCAUGUACAGAGAGCAAGCAUUUCAAGCAUCAACAAAAAUAAGACUCCCCAUUGUCAACAGCUUCAUAAUCAUACUACUAACUACUGAAUGCAGAAAAUAAAGAUAACAAAAAGACCAUAUCCGAAAUUACAGAAAAGAUAGAGGUGACUAUAUGCACCGGAAACACAGACAACUUCAAAGCUAAAACAAACAGAGGGUAGAGGGUUUCACAGCAAAUGAUCAACGACCACCGCUAGUGCAUUCACGAGCAAAGUGCCCGUCUUCACCACACUUGAAGCAACCGCCUCCGCCACCACCGCCUCCGCCGGAGUACCUACCACCACCGCCGCCGCCGCCACCCUGGCUGCAGUCUCUGGCAAAGUGUCCAGACUCGCCACACUUGAAACAACCACCUCCUCCUCCACCACUGCCUCCACCAUAACCACCACCACCUCCUCCAUAGCCGCCACCGCCUCCCCCGUAACCACCACCACCUCCUCCACCAUAACGACUGCCACCUCCAUACCCACUGUCACCACCACCAUAACCACGGCUACCACCUCGGUCACCACCGUAACCACCACCACCACGGCCUCCUCCGCCUCCACCGCUACGUGACCCACCAGAAACAGCAGCACCAUCAGGUCCAGUAACAUCAACAGCCUUAGUACGUCCAUCACUACCAUUCUCAACCUCAUACUCGACAGACUCACCUUCAGCUAAACUCCUAAAACCCUCAGAUCUGAUACCUGAUUGAUGAACAAACAGAUCAUCACUUCCAUCAUCAGGAGUGAUGAACCCAAAACCCUUUUGGUCAUUGAACCACUUCACAGUUCCCUUAGCCCUCUGUCCACCUUCUUCCGCCAUUUUUCUCUCACAAACACAAACCCUAAAAACCCAAACACCCCCUUUGCCUUUGCGUGUUCCCUUUGGUAUUGUCACCCUGCUCUUUUUUCACUAACAGAAGCCUCGGCUAUAUAGUGAGAGACUGAGUGACACGUUUACAUUUUCUGGGGCCCACGAUAUAGUGGGCCAUGAUAUUUGUGCUUGGGAGAAUGAAAUCGACGGUAGGAUAUUUUCGAGGUGAACAAACGGUCAGGGUCUAAUAAGGAUAAGACCAAUGGUCAAAUUUCAUUUAAUUGGACGAUUUUGUCCUACUUGUUGAAUGAGUAGAAAGAGUGAACUAUGUGGAUUAAUGGGGGUAGUAUAGUCAUUUCAAUAUGAUCAUGCAGAAAACGUUACUACUCCUUCCGUGUAGCAGUCUAAAAGCUGUCAGUCAAAAAUAAAUCAAACAAAAUAGACAUGUAACGUAAAGCACACCCCAAUUUCAAAUUAUUUCUCUUCACUUUUAAAGUUAAUUAUAUUUUUCUUAAUAUUUUACAUUUAUUUUUAUAUAUUCAUGAUAUGAAAUAUAAUGUUCACUUUAGAAAAAAAUAGAAUUAUAUGAAUUUAAGUUAUCAAUAAAGUAAAAAAAAUAAAAAUUGUUGUGGAUAAUUAAAAAAAUGUCUGUUUAACGUAAAGCAUACUUUCUAUUUAAAAUUUUUGGUCAUAAGUUUUAAAGUUGAUUAUUUUUUUUCUUAAUACUCCAUUCAUUUUUAUAUAUUCAUUAUAUUUUGAUGUUCAUUUUAGAAAAAGAGAGAAGUGUUCUAGUGAUAAACAUCCACGUCACAUUUUAAGAUUGUGAAUUUAAAUUAUCAAAAGAGUAAAAGGAUAAAAAUUUCUAUGGAUAGUUAAAAUAAUGUCCAUUUUAACAUAAAGCACACUCCGUAUUUUAAAUUAUUUCUCAUAAAUUCUAAAAUUAAUUAUUUAUUUUUUAAUAUUCCAUCCAUUUUUAUAUAUUCAUCAUAUUAAAUAUGAUGUCCAUUUCAAAGAAAGAUAGAAAUUGUUGCAAUGAUAAGCAUCCACGUCAUAUUGGAGCAAAUCUCAAAAUGUGACACGGAUGGUUAUUGUUAGAGCCUGACGGAGAUGCUUAUCAUUGGAGCAAUUCUAUUUUUGUUUAAAAUGGACAUUAUAUUUAAUAUAAUGAAUACAUGAACAUAAUUAACUUUAGCACUUAUGAGAAAUAAUUUGAAAUAGGGGUAUAUUUUACAUUAAUAUGGAUAUUUUUUGAACUAUCCAGAAGAGUUUUUAUCUUUUCUGUCCUUUAGAUAACUCAAAUCCACACUCCCAAAAUGUGAUGUGAGUACUUAUUAUCGGAACAAUUCUAUCUUUGUCUAAAAUAAACAUCAUAUUUAAUAUAAUGAAUACAUAAAAAUAGAUGGAGUGUUAAGACAAAAUAAUUAACUUUAGAACUUAUGAGAAAUAAUUUGAAAUAGGGGGUAUGCUUUACGCUAAAUGGAUAUUUUUUAAAGGGAAAAAUUUCAAAAAUAGCAACAGUAAAGCCUUAAAAUUAUAAUUUUUAUAGCAACAGUUUUAAAAUUACAAAAACUAGCAAUAUGUAUUUUAUAUUUUAGUAAAAGGUUGCUAUAAAAACACAUAUACAAAUAUGUUAAGACGUUCCUUAUUAAACUCUAAUCAGGUAGAGUUAAUUAAGGGAUUAAACAGUUCCUUAUUUUAAGCUACAUUUAAUUAACAGACUCCUUUACCUUUUAUGACUCUUUUAAUUUUACCUUAACCGUUAAUAUACAUAUUCAAAUUCAAAAAUCGUUUUCCAUAUUUAUCACGUAAAAGCAAAUUCAAAAAAAAAAGUUGAGAGAAUGAAAUAUCGUUGAUGAACAUCUGUUUUUUACGAAGAAUAUUUGAAUAAACAAUCUGACAAUUACAGAUAUGGACAAACAAACUUUGAGAUCAUAUUUAUGGGAUUGCGGAAAUAUUUUGAAGGUUAGUAACAAUAUGGGUUAACGAUCAUGAAUUAAAAAUUUUAGAUCGUAUUUUGAAUUUUAUAAGUUAUCGGUAAAAAUUUCGUUAUCGACAUUUUGUUUUCAAAAUAAUUUUUUUCCUUGUCGUCAUGUAUGUAUGAAACUAAAUUGCAGUUCUUAUACGCUAAAUUUGAAAUUUAGUCGACGAUAAAUAUUAUUCGACUAAAAUAUUAUUUUUGCGUUGGAAUUUAUUUUUCUGUUGUGGAUGUACAAAUUAAUUAAUUUUAUUCAGUACAUAUUAUAUAAUUGAAUUUGUAUUUAAUGUUUUCUAGUGUUCUGGACAUUGAUGAUGGGAAGCAUACAUGUUCUCAUUAAACACACUGGUAGUAUGAACAACAUUGAACAACAAUAUGAAGAUCACAUCAGUGAUGCGAUAUCGUUGAGUAUAAAUGCUUCGUAAAACCAACUCUACGCACUACUAGCUUCGUACAUUGAUGUUGAUUUGACAUGCAAAAGCAUUCAAAUUGAAUAUCAGUUAACAGAUAUUGAAGGUAAAAUACGUGUACGUAAUGACAUGGAUUUGAAGGUCUAUAUUAUGCAGAAAAGGGAGAUAAAGAUAAUGAGUGCUUUGCCUUUGUAUAUAAGUGUUUCUAAAAAGGAUAGUGUCAACACAUUUGUAAGUUCAUCAAUAUGUAAUGUUGAGAGUAUGAAUUUGUCUAUCAUUGUGCGUAAUGUGGUAAAUACAAGUACUGAAAGAGCAUUGAUAGUUAUUACUUCAGAUGAAUGUUUGGAUAUAUCUGAGAUGGAUACAAUAAAGUAAUUAUCUCGGACCCACAUAACAAACAUAUUGUGGUUGAACAAGUUUAUACCACGAAAAGGGUGUUAAAAUUUGUGAUGAAGGAUUACACGACUCGAGAGAAGUUCCAAUCACGAUCUGUUAGAUCAAGUAAAACCUGAUAAGUUUGUCAUGUAUAUAAAUUUUUUUGUUUCCAUGUUGGUAAAUUGUAUUGCAGCAUAUGCAUUUACAAUAUACAUAUAUAUUAAAUUUUUUAUUUUUUCGUGUUAGUAAAUUAUAUUUCAGCAUAUUUUUUUUAUAGUUAUGCAUUGUUGUGCAGAUCCAGUAAUUGUGAUUUUUUAUUCCGUGCAUCUGAUAUCAACAAAUCUAGAAUGUUUUGUGUUAGAGAAUUCUUACCAGAACACACAUGUCUGAUAAAGGAUAAGAUUUAUCCUAAGUUUCAUGCUCUAGUAAGUUGAUUAGAGGUAUAGUGAAAUCAAAGUUUAAAAGCCACAAAAGAAAAUACAAUGCGACUGAUAUCAGAAGUGACAUGAAGGAAGACCUGGGUAUUGAUUUGACAUAUAUUAUGUGUUGGCGAGCUAAGGAACAAGCACUUGAAGAUUUAAGAGGAAAAUCAUCGGCAUCAUACGAAAAACUAUCUGCAUACACAUAUUUUGAACACUACUUACCCAGGGUCACAAAUACGAAUGAAAAAGCAUGAAGAUAAUGAGUUUUUGUAUAUUUUUGUUGCACUAACUACAUUCAUACAAGGGUUCGAUUACUGUAGACCUGUGAUAGUUGUUGAUGCAAGUUAUCUCAGAGGACUGUACAGUGGUACAUUUGUAGCUGUCUAUACCAUGAAUGGAGUCGGUAAGCUAUUCUCGACAUGUAUUUGACUCUAUAAACAACUGUAUAUGUUUAUAGAAUAUAUAUAUGCAGCAUAUUUAUCUUUGUACUAUAUAUUUCUUAUGUUUUAGGAUAUAUGUAUUUGUAUUAACGUUUUGAAUUAUGUUUAUGAAAUAAAUGACAGUCAGAUAUUUGGCAAGAGAUAUGUGUUUAUAGAGUACUUAUUUAAUUUCUUUUUGGUGUUGACUGGGAGAUAGAUAUGAUUCCAGCUGUCUGUAUAUAUAAUAUAGCUAUGAAUUUUGUUUAUGUGUUAAAUGACAAUUAAACUUGUUGCCAGUUGUAUGUAUUUAUAAAAUAUAUAUUAUUUUUUUAUGUCUAUAUAUAACGUACUAUUAAUGUAUUUGUUCCAUGUUCGGGCCAUAUAUUUUCAUUGGCAUUUAGAAUACUAGAUUCUGAAAAUGAUGCAUCCUGGACAUGGUCUUUUGAGAAUUUAAAGGAAGCAUACGGUGAAAGAGAACAUAUGUAUGUGGUUUCCAAUCAUAAUGCAAGCAUUAUAAAAGUUGUUGCUGAUGUGUAUAAUAAUGUAUCACAUUACGCUUGUAUGUGGCAUUUAGGGGAUAAUGUGAAAUUUUUUUUAGAAAGUCACAUGAUGCAUUGUCGAAAAUCUUCUAUACCAUGACAAAAUCAUACUCAAAGUCUGAAUAUAAUCAAUUAAUGGAUAAAGUGGAGGUAGUUGAUGUUAGGGUGAAGAAUUACUUGGAAUUAGCGGGAUACGAUAAGUGGGUUAUGUCAUAUGCAACAGUUCAUAGGGGAUGGACCUUAACAUCAAAUAUUGCAAAGUUAAUUAAUGUCGCAUUGGUAUCAAUUGGAGAACUUCCACUAUACGAUUUUUUAGAAGAAGCUAGAUUGAUGUUUGGUAGAUGAAACUGUGAAAACAGACCGGAGGCAUUGUACACACGGACGAAUCUUAUUGAAAAAUUUUAAGCAAUUCUCCAACAGAAUGAAGCAAAGUGUACACAUAUAAAGGUAUGAUGAAAUAGAUGUAAUCAUUAAAAGUUAUCUGUUCUUGAAUUUUGAUCUGUUGUAUGAAUCAUAUCUUCAUUUACAAAUUAGUAAAAAUUUAACAAACGUAUGUGCUGUAAUGAAAAAAAUAUGUAUAUCAUACGUAGACAUAUUAAUAUACAUUUGCUGCUUUGAAAAAAUACAUUUGCUAAACUGUAUCAUAUUGCACUGCCAACUUUUUUUUCAAUAUUUUUUAUGUAUUAAUAUUUUCAGGUUAUACCAGCGUCAGAGUACGUCUAUACAAUCUACGACAAGGAGAAAUAUUUUAUUGUUUGCCUAAAGGAAAAAAAAUGUUCUUGUCAUGUAUUCCAAUUGAAUGAGAUACCAUGUGUCAUGCUUGUGUUAUACUUGAUAGCAAGAAUCUUGAAAAAAGACCAUAUUGCUCUAAUCUGAACAAGCCAAAAACUGUGUUGAGAACGUAUGAUCGUUCUGUAUAUCCUCUACCACAUAAAGAUGACUGGGCGAUACCUCAGGAAAUAUUGAAGGAUGUAGUUUUACCCCCGAAAUACAAGCGGCCCCCUGGAAGAUCUGCAAAGAAGGAGUGUGGUAAAUCUGGAAGAUAUAUGUUCGAAAAGAAAAGCAAAAAUUAUUGUAGUUCAUGUGGACUAAAAGGUCACAAUAGGCGUUCUUGUAGGAAAUACAACAAAUGAUAAGUUUGAUCAUGUUUUUAGUUAAAAUUCAGUUGCUUUAUUUUUUUUUUUCAAUUUGAAUUGUGUCAUUUUGAAUUUUGAACCUUUUAUUGAUAUUGAUAAUUUGUUACAGUUCAGAAAAUGCAACUUUAUGAACUUGAACUUGUUGAUUUGUUAUCAUACAAUACAAACUGAAAUGAACGUUAUCAUUUCAGUUUAUUAAGUAUUUGAUUUGUCAUAGUUCAAUACACAUUGUUGAUCAUUAUGUUUGCAUUAGACGUAAAUAAAAAUACAAACUGAAAUGCACUUUAGUAUUAACAAUAAUGUGUUUCUUUCAAAAGUACAAAUGGAAAUCUGAAAAAGAAACAUGUCUGUAUGUUUAUUAAGUAGACACAUAUAUAUAUGGAAAUCAAAUAAAAAUAUAUAUGUAUUAUAUACGAUAAUGUGCAACUGAAUGACAAAUGUAUUUUAAAAAUACAUUUGCUCAAUGUAAUGAUCAUAUAUAUGUAAAAAAAAAUACAUAUGCUUACUGGAAUGACAUAUUUAUGUUAAGAAUAUAUUUGUUCACUGUAAUGGUAAUAUGUAUUUUAAAGAGAAACGACAUCUUUUUCCCCAUGAACUUGUCCUCCAAACUCACUUUAGCACUUAAACUUAACUUCCGUUUAUUUACCCCCCNNNNNNNNNNNNNNNNNNNNUUAACAUCUUUAAAGUGUAUUUGUUUGACCCCUAAAGCUAACAUGACAUUUUUUUAAAAAAAAGGAGCGCGUUUAUUUAUUAAAAAGGAAAAAAAAACCGCAUUUUUUAAUUAAAAACUGAUAUAAUCCCACUUUUUAUUUUAAUAUAUAUUAAAAAAAAAUUCUUCUUCUUCAAUGCCCCCACCCCCCUCAUGGCAACCCACACCUACACCCUACACUCUUUUCUUCUCCAAUUGAUCAAGAACAAUAAUACUCAUUUUCUUUAAACCAUCAAUUCCUCCAUUAACAAUCUCAUCCAUUUUCUUCAACCAUUAAUUUCUCCAUUAGCAACCUCAUCCAUUUUCUUCAACCAUUAAUUUCCUCGUUAACAACUUCACCCAUUUUCUUCAACCAUUAAUUUUUUCAUUAACAAUCUCACACACUUUCUCCAUCAAUACUUUCAAGAUGGUAAUUAAUCGAACACAAGAUGUAAUGAUUAAGAUAUAAUAAUUCAAUAUUCUUAUACCAAAAAAAGAAAAAAAAUCACCCUUCAAUUGAAAACUUUUUAGAAAAUAGAGUUUUUUUUUUUUUGACUUUGCUUUUUUCUGAUUUUAGAAAUCAUAAUUAACAAACUAUGUGAUUGGUCUGAGAUCAUCAUAGCGAUUAUGUUGUUUCAAAACCAAAUCUUCAGCCCUCACAAUCAAANNNNNNNNNNNNNNNNNNNNNNNNNNNNNNNNNNNNNNNNNNNNNNNNNNNNNNNNNNNNNNNNNNNNNNNNNNNNNNNNNNNNNNNNNNNNNNNNNNNNNNNNNNNNNNNNNNNNNNNNNNNNNNNNNNNNNNNNNNNNNNNNNNNNNNNNNNNNNNNNNNNNNNNNNNNNNNNNNNNNNNNNNNNNNNNNNNNNNNNNNNNNNNNNNNNNNNNNNNNNNNNNNNNNNNNNNNNNNNNNNNNNNNNNNNNNNNNNNNNNNNNNNNNNNNNNNNNNNNNNNNNNNNNNNNNNNNNNNNNNNNNNNNNNNNNNNNNNNNNNNNNNNNNNNNNNNNNNNNNNNNNNNNNNNNNNNNNNNNNNNNNNNNNNNNNNNNNNNNNNNNNNNNNNNNNNNNNNNNNNNNNNNNNNNNNNNNNNNNNNNNNNNNNNNNNNNNNNNNNNNNNNNNNNNNNNNNNNNNNNNNNNNNNNNNNNNNNNNNNNNNNNNNNNNNNNNNNNNNNNNNNNNNNNNNNNNNNNNNNNNNNNNNNNNNNNNNNNNNNNNNNNNNNNNNNNNNNNNNNNNNNNNNNNNNNNNNNNNNNNNNNNNNNNNNNNNNNNNNNNNNNNNNNNNNNNNNNNNNNNNNNNNNNNNNNNNNNNNNNNNNNNNNNNNNNNNNNNNNNNNNNNNNNNNNNNNNNNNNNNNNNNNNNNNNNNNNNNNNNNNNNNNNNNNNNNNNAUAUUUAUAUAAAUAUAUAUAUAUAUAUAAAAAUAAUGUAUAGGAAAUUAUUUUUUUAAAAAAAAUAGUAAUUUCUUACGUGACAAUGACGUGGCUCCGAUGUGGCAUUGACGUGGCGUUGAUGUGUAGGUGAGUGUAACACACUCUCCGUUAUGAGAGUGGUAUUCAGUUUUGAGGGGUAAAAAUAAUACACUUUAAAGAUGUUAAGGGGGUAAAUAAAUAGAAGUUAGUUUAACUGUUAAAGUGAGUUGAGCGGACAAGUUCAGGGAGGAAAUCAUGUCUUUUCUCAAUUUUUAAAUACAUAUUUUCAAUGAAAUGUGCACGUGUAAAACAAUAAUUUGUUCACUGAAAAUGAAUAUGAAUGGUAAAAGUACAAAUGUUCACUUGAAUAAGCAUAUGUAUGUUAAAAAUAAAUAUGUUCACUGGAAUAAGCAUGUGUGUUAUUAUAAAUAUACACAUACAUUAUUAAAAAAUACAUAUGAAAAACUGCAUAGAACAGUUUAUAAAGACAUAUACUAACCAUGAAAAAUUGGAGAUUAAACGAUUAAACAUCAAAAAAUUAACAUAACAACUAAUGAACAUUGAAAUACCAUCUUUGCCCAUUAAAAUGAAAUAUUUCAAAAAAUAAUAUUUAUCCACCUAAAUUUAACUGUCGUUAACUUCAACAAAAUAAAAUACAAAUCAAAUGUCAUACACUUCUGUGCGUUCUAUUAACUCAAUUUUUCAAAGAGGCCUCAUUGGUGCUUCAUCACUUUGUGCCUCCGCUUCGGUCUUUCAAGUAGCAUAAUCCCGCAACAGUGAAGCGUAUCUUAUGCAAAUAAGAUCUGAUCAAAAUCAGCAUAUGAAACACCUUCACCAAAAAUAAGGCACUCGGCAUACGUAAUCAUAUAUAAGCCACAGUCUCUGCAAAUACAUGCAUUAAUAAGUAAGUAGUUGUUACAAGUUUAAUACAUAUGUAUAUAUACAAGUAAUAUGUGUACUCAUUACUUACAAGCUGUCACUUGGUUGUUGAGGCAUAUUCUCCACAACUGAAAUACCAAAUGGAUCCAUCCUAUCAUUCAAUUUGUAAUUAGGAUGAUUGUCAAUUUCAAUACUCUUAUUCUCGUAGAAUUUACAUGCAAUGAGACAUAUAGGUAUAACCUUUGCUAACUUUUCAAUUUCACUAAGCACCACAGCAUCAUAACCAGCAGCUGACAAAGAAUCAUAUACAUAUAUGCACCUAUGAUUGAACGAUAUAACCGCAAGAACCUAAUGAUGUUUGGACUUUACAUGAACAGGAAUGAAAAUAUGGUCAACCGUAUGCCAUGGCACUGUAGCAUGCAUGCGGAAUCCACUUAUGUACUUAUUCAGAUGGUAUUCCUUUCCACCAGCAUUAAGAGAUGUAUCAUCUACUUUAUACACAUAAAAAAUCCUUCUAACAAUGUUCAUGAAAUUGUAGUCUAUAGUGCUGAACGUAUAUGAGCUAUUGGAAUCAUACUUAGACUUCUUUCGCAGAUAAUAGAAGCAUACAUCAAUUUGCUGCAUUAUAAAUUAAUUUCAUACUUAAUAGUAAAUAAAAAAAUUAAGAUUCAAAGAAUCCAACACUACAUAUGUAAAUAUCAUGUACUUAUCAGUGAACAUAUAACAUACUUCAUAUGCAUAUACAAAUAUACAUUUUCAACUAUAACAAUAUAAGCAGUUACAAAUAUUCAUAUGUAACACAGGACUAAUAUUUAUUUCAAUAUACAACUCAUCAACAUAAUAAUACAUCACUUACCUCAUCUGACCAUGUCUGGCUAGGAGUACCCAUAAUGUAGACCCAAUUCUUGUCUUCAACAUAUAAAACUCCAAAACUGGUAAGCGGUAUUUUUGCCUUGCCCUUCAAAAAAUUAUCUUCUUUGCUGUUUUUGUUUAUUCAUCAUACAUAUUAGUAGAUCAUUUACAUAAUCUUAAAUUACAAAAUAUAGUACAAAUAAGUUGUAACCUAUAUACCUCUUCGAAUGAUAGUUAAGAAGAUCCAAUGAAAGUCACGUCAUGAACUUGUCGGUGCUCUUAGUGUCUUCUAUAUCAUUAAUAGGAUGAGAUAUGAAGGGAUGUUUCUGAUCGAAUGUUCUCCGUUGCGCUUUUAUGCAGAAACAAAAGUUUAAUUGUAUGUCUUAAAACUGUCACAUAUGUAUUUAUGAAGUACAUAUUAACAAAUGUAUUUGUUACUACUUCAUUGUUACAUAUCUAAGCUAUCAAACUUCAACAUAAACAAAUUGUCAUCAAAAUAUAACCAGUUCUCAUUAAAAACAAAUACAACUGAUCCAAAAAAAAUUAAACAUCAAAAUACAAAGAAUACUUCAUUAUCCAUUACAAAAGAAUAAUAAUUUUAAUAUAUAAAGUAAACAAAUACUAAAAAAAUUAUAUUAAAAGUACUAAUCAUCUGGUGAACCAAAGUUCAUUGUGAAUGGUGACUCCUUGUAUCUAGAUGGUCGCCUAAUCCUUGAAACAGGCAUUGGCGUUUGUUGUGCUUCAUUUGCCGAUGAAUGUACAAUUAUACUUCGUUCAAGAUUGACAUACGCAAUAAGACUACGAAGAAGAUCUGAGAGUCAGGAAAAUCUUAAUCAGCAUUGCUUUCAUCAUUUACUCUGUCUUGAAUGUGAAAUGGAGUCUUGUGUUGCUGAUCUAACUUUGAUUUAUCCACAUCAUUAACCUCUGACUCAUCUUCUGUUGGUUUAUUUAAAUUCUUCUCGACAACAACUUCUUCGUUCUGUAUAAAUUGUAUAAAGAUCUAGCAAGGUUGGAUUUUCAAACAAAUAAAUAAAAGAAAACAAUGCACGUAUUUAAGAUACCUUGCACUCAAUUUCGACUUCAGCAUUGGCUUUAUUUAUGAAGUCAAGAUCAAUGCUUCUAAGGACGUCAUCUGAAAAUGUGAAUUGAGAUUCUGAUAUUUGUGCUUCACCAAUACUUUCAUCAAUCGAUUUUGUGUUCUACACAACAUGUUCAUACAAAUUAAAUAAAAUAAUAUUUUUCAAUAACUAAACAACUAACCUAGAUAUAUUCAGCAUACCAAAGAGACACAUACAUCUUUUGCUUCAUGCACUUCUAUAUCAGUUUUUUCCUUUCAAAAAAAGAAAUAAUAAAAAAUUAAAACAAUUAAUAUUCAUCAAUAUAAGUAUACCUAACAAAAAAAAAUUGAUCUAUCGGAACAUCAUCAUUAUCCUCAUGAUACCCAUCAAUCUCAUUAUACACAUCAUUCAUAUUGUUGCUUUGAUUGUCUGCCAUCUCUGUAGUCACCUUUUUUAAUGUUGUUUUAUGUAAUGAUAAAUUAGAAUUGUAUAUAAUAAAAAACUUUACAAUAAAUGUACGCAAUUUACUUACCAAUGUGCCUUCAAGAUUCUGAUUAAACUCGUAAUCAAAUUUUGGAGUCGCUUGAAGGGAUGAUGUAUUGUUAACAUUUUCAUCCGUUGGUGGCUGGUCAUAUUCUCUGUCUUUUGCUUGUUUCUUUGCGUUUACAACAUGAAAAUGCAAAUAAAAAAUAAAUAGUAAACUAACUAUUUAGUUUAGCUCUGCAUAUGUAUAUAUGAUUAUACAUAUCAUAAACUGAAAAAUACAUAUUAAAUAUAUGACAAAGAGAAUGAGUUCUCCAUAUUUCAUUAUUAAAAAUACAAAAUCUGCAUGCUGAAUUUGUAUUUAACAUAACUAAUGUAACAUAUGACUAUGUAUUUAUUAUUUUACUUAUUGUCAUUUAGAAAAAAAUAUAUUUUAUCUAAAAAAACAGACUCAACAAACUGUAUAAAUUCAUAUGUUGUGUAUGUAUAUAUGUUGUAUUUUUAUUCAACCACACUAUAUAUAUUUGUUUAAUAUGUAUUUAACCUAAUAAGUGUAUAUUUAUAAAAAUCGUUUACAUCAGAAUUGUUGUACCUUGAUUUCAUUAAUUGCAUUCAUGAUUUGAUCACACCUGGAUGAUAGUAGGCCACACAUAUCAUUAAACUCUUUCCAAACCUGAAUUCAAAGAAAUAAUUAGAAAUACAAAAAUAAAUUAAUCAAAAACUUAAACAGAAAUUACCUUAUCACGAAACUUAUCAAAGACUUUCUUCGAGACAACGACGUCUUCAACUUCAAAACUGAAGGAAGAUAGAGCAGGUGACUGAAUCGGAAUAGUUUUUUUACUAUCAGGCCGAUUUAUGUCUUUCCUAUUUCCACGCAGCGUAGCUUUUGUUUGAAUUGACUUGUGAAUUGGAGUCCUCACAGAAGGCAUCUUUGCAGUACGGGGUGGAGGGGUCCUUUUUUGUGGCUGCUCAUCUGUACCUUUAGAAUGUGGCUUCAAUUUUUUCUUUGUGGGUGAAGCUGAUGAAUCGACAUGAUAUUUUUUUUUUGUGGUUAACUGUUUUUGUCUUUGUGGAGGAUCUUGAAAGUCAUUAUUCGAAUCAAUGUCAUCUUCAUUAUGACUUGCAGCUCCAGGAACAAGCUUCUUUGAUAUUUGAAACGCUGAAAUCUCCUUUCUUAUUGGCUCGAUAUUUUUAAAAAGAACCUACAAUUUAAAUUAUAUAAAGAACAAAAUAAUUUAGAUGCUAAAAUUAAUGACAUUAUAAAACAGGUAAUCAUGAUCCAUACCCAAAAAUGAAUAAACAAUGACAAAUGAUAUUUUGUAUAUAUAUAUAUAUAUACCAGAUCAGAAAAAGUAUUUAAAAAAUAAUCAACAUCACAUAAAAAAGAUAAAAAGUAAAACUAACGUUGUCAUCUGUAUCAUGAAACAUACUUCCCAUAAGAGUUUCAUAUUGUGGGUGAGGAGAAUUUGUCUUCCAAUUUAAAAGACGUGGAAUUUGAGAGUCCACCUUGGAAGCAACAUUACGAGGCACAUUUGAACAACACUCGUACAAUCAAAUUUGAAUGGCCAGUGGCAUUUCAAGAAGCAUAUAAAACUUUUCUUUCGAUUUCAACUUUUUAUGCAAGCUUCUAGUUAAUUCUUCAAAGGCAACCGAUCCCCAAGGUUAAUCACUGUAGCGAUCACUCUCAACCAAAUCAAAGUGUAGGCGUGGAAUAGCUACGGUAUCAACUGAGGAUAGUAAGAAUGCGUGAAUAAAAUACAAAUUGGUAAACUUUAGCGCAUCUUCAUCAUUAUCAUUCCCUCAAAUUUUGUCAGAAACAUCCGCAAAUAACUUUUUUUUCUGUAUAAAACUCUCACCAUCAAAAUAUUGAUCAAUAAUUCUGUUUGGACGCUCCUCGUCAAACACAAAAUCAUCCCUGUUUAUAACACAAUUCAAACCAGUCACCAAAGCAAACUCUCUAAGAGUGAAAUGAAAAAUUGUGCCCUUUGCAUGAAUGACUAUGACACUUGUAGAACUUUCCUUCGUUUCAAGUGACAUAAUGCAUCUCCCUAAUUGUGCUUGGACGACACAAUCUUUCUUCUUCAUGAAGAAACCAAAUAUACUUUUAGUACGAAACAUCUUGUACUGAUUCUUCGUUAACAUUGAUUUAAUACGGUCUUCAAUGUCGUUGACCAUAUGACAUUCUAUAUGAGGAGCAAAUUGGGGCAAUACUCAUGCCCUGUAUAUUUGAUCAUGCAUGACCUAUGCAGCAAAAAAAAAUACAAUACUAUGUCAAAACAGUAUCUUAUAUGUAUUUAUGAAAUAUAUCUUAAAAUUAGUAUGUACAGAGUGUCUUAUAUGUAUUUAUGAAAUACAUCUUAAAGUUAGUUUAUACAUUCUAUACAUAAAUCUAUCAUAUGUAUUUUGUGAAUACAUCGCUAGUCAGUAUCUAAGUUAUCAAAACAUCUAAAUUCAAAAAUUGUCUUCACCUGAUGAAUAACAAAUACAAUUAUGUACGUACAAACUACAUCCAACAGAGAAGAACUACUUAUCACAUUCAAAUUCCAAUGACUACCAAAUACAACUUAACAUCAAAUACAAUUCUUAGUUGUUAACAUAAAAACACAUAUCUAAGCUGUAUAUAUUUUCAAAAUACAUAUUACACUUAUAUUUCAACAAACACAUAUGUAUUUUCUGAAUACAUGAAUUGUACAAAUUUAAUUAACAAGAAAAGAUAUAACAACGAAUAUACGAAUUAUAUAACAAAUGUAUUUUCAGAAUACAUAUACACUUAUAUAAAAAUAUAUAUACAAAAACCUUGCCAGUAAUUAAUACAACUAUCUCACACAAAUGUAAUAUGUAUUUUAACAUUACAUAUGCUCACUGGAGUGGUCUUAUGUAUGUAAAAAAUACAUUUCAACAAACAAGAACUACAUAUCACAUUCAAAAUCUAAUGACUACCAAAUACAACUUAACAUAGAAUACAACAAAUGUAUUUACAGAAUACAUAUUACACUUACAUAACAAUACAUAUAUAAAUUCUUGCCAGUGACAAAUACAAAUAUCUUACACAAAUUUUAGAUAUCAAAUACAUAUUUAAAAUAUAUUGUAUGUAACAUAUACAAUUCAUAUCAAUAACAAAAUUUUGGAAUAGCACCAUACCUCCUCCACUUUCUCUUGUUCAGAUUCAUAAUUUAAUGCAACGAGACUUAUUAUUUUACUAGAUUCUCUUUUUUCAUCCGAUUUUCUUUUUUCACUGAUUUUUCAACUUUUGUGGGAUUUGGGGAUGAACAUUUUGUUAAUGCUUUUCCUUUCAUUAUUUUCACAAUUUUUUUCGGAUCGUUACGGUAUUUCGAUCUUACCUCUUCAAUGAUAACACCUUCCUUAGAUAGAAUAUUAGUAAAACCCAAGUUAAAUUCUUCGUCUUGUGUUAAACCAAGACUAAAUGAUGGUACUUCAUCAAAAACUAAAUUCUUCGAUUGAUUUUCUCUAAAUAAACUACUACGAUUUGUAUGUUGAGCCAUUAUACAUUAACUCGUACAAUUUCAACAUAAAAAUAAAAAAUUGAACCCAAAGAGACGUUCACAGACUAAUAUUGAAAAAAUGACGUCAAGAAACACUUUAACAGAAAUUAAAUGAAAAAAAUAACAUGCAUUAACUGAAAAAGAAACUUACCUUAAAAAGUGGAGAUGAUCUUUAUGAUCGUGGGAGUGAUAGGCGGAAUUUGAAAAAAAAAUAAAUGGGAAGUUGAGGGGAAGUGAAAUUGGUAAAGAAGGGUAAAAAUAAGGAUCUGAAAAAAUAUGGAGAGAUUUUACGCGCCUUUAAAAAAAAAAGGUAAAAUAAUGUUAGUUUUGUUAUUACUUGUAAUUUUGCCAAACUAUUGUUAUUUCUUGUAAUUAAUGUCUUAAGGUUGCUAGUUUAUGUAAUUUUUACUCUUUUUAACUGUCCACAAGAGUUUUUUUCUUUUUUGUCCUUUAGAUAACUCAAAUCCACAAUCUCAAAAUGUGACGUGGAUGCUUAUCAUUAGAGCAAUUCUAUCUUUGUCUAAAAUGGACAUCAUAUUUAAUAUAAUGAAUACAUAAAAAUGAAUGGAGCCUUAAGAAAAAAUAAUUAACUUUAAAACUAACGAGAAAUAAUUUGAAAUAGGGGGUAUGCUUUACGUCGAAUUAUAUUUUUUUUAACUAUUCACAAAAGUUUCUAUCUUUUUUGUCCUUUUGAUAACUCAAUUUCACAAUCUCCAAAUGUGACGCGAGUGUUUAUUAUUGGAACAUUUCUAUCUUUGUCUAAAAUGGACAUCAUAUACGUAAAGCACACCCCCUAUUUCAUAUUAUUUCUCACUAGUUGGAAUGUUGUUUAACUUUUUACUAAUACUCCAUCUAUUUCUAUAUAUUCAUUAUAUAAAAUGAUGUCCAUUCUAAACAAAGAUAAAAUUGCUCUAAUGAUAAGCAUCCAUAUCACAUUUUGAGGAUGUGGAUUUGAGUUAUCAAAAGGACGAAAAUAGGUAGAAACUCCUGUGGAUAGUUACAAAAAUGUCCAUUUUAACGUAAAGCAUAUCCCCUAUUUUAUUUUAUUUUUUCAUAAAUUUUAAAGUUAAAUAUUUUUUUCUUAAUACUCCAUUCAUUUUUAUAUAUUCAUUAUAUUAAAUAUGAUGUUCAUUUUAAACAAAGAUAGAAAUGCUUUAAUGAUAAACACCCGCGUCAUAUUUUGAGAUUGUGAAUUUGAGUUAUCAAAAAGGCAAAAAAGAUAAAAACUCUUAUCGAUAGUUAGAAACAUGAGAAAAAUUGAAGGAAAGGUGUCUUUUAAGUCUUGAAUGAAGGAUUGGUGACACUGACCAACUUAAAGUGUCAAACAUCAUUAGAAAACUUGAUUAAGUUAAUUGUGAACUUGAUUAAUAUUUUUAAAAUUUUCUAAUCUUUUAAAAAUACAAAUAAACCCAACCCACACCCCUCUUCAAUUCAAAUCAACACUCUCUCCUCUCUCUCGAGAGCUUUUCUCCUCUGCAACAUAAUACCCAUCUAUUCGAUUCAUAUUAUGGGCACCUAGAACCAUAAACAUGAAUCCAACAUAAGUCUACUGUUACAACAGAAUAUUUAUCUGGUGCCGCAGAUAAUGGAUCUGUUUAAACAGAUUGCUCUUAUGUUGCAUUCAUGUUCGCGUGCUAGCUAUUGUUGAAAAAACAACACACUAGCAGUUACCCAGAUGACAAAUUCAACUAAAAAGCAUAAUUUGACUUACCAAAGUCUCCUCUCAAGUAAAUACCAAAAUUGAAAGUGAUUUACGAAAUAAAAUUUGACAUAAGAAUUUGGUCAAAGAGCAACAGUUGGGGUAACAACAACAACAACGGUCAACAAGAAGAAUAUGAAGAUGAUAAUGAAGUAUAAGAUGAUGAUAAUGAAUCAGAAGAUGAUGAAUAAAGCAGCAGCGACAAUGAACAACAAAUAUCGCGAAGAGAGAGAAAAUAACAACGGAUGAGGAGAGAGAAAAACGUGUUUUUUUUCCUUCUUUUCCCGUUAUAUUAACUAACAUUUGAAUCAAAGUGUAAAUUUAAAAACUUGUGAGUUAUUUUGAAAAUUUCCAAACUUUCUUAAUCGGGUGAAAAUCGUUCUCCCCCCCCUCCCCCCAAAGUUUUUUUUAAAAAUCAACCUCCUCCGAACUAUCAACAAUAAUCAACCUCCCCCCUUUAUCCCAUGCAAUGUUCAUUUUGUCCUUGUAAUAUGAUAAUGUUUAUGGACAUUGCAUAAAAACAUAAACAUUAUCUUCUUUUUUAAAAAAAAAAUUCAUAUAACAAAAUCUUCAUAAAAAACAUAAACAUUAUCUUCUAGGAAAAAAAAAAAAGAAAUACUAAUUCAGUAUAUAAACUAAUGAUGAUCUUUAUGAAGUAAAUUAGCAUGAUGUAAGAAAAUUAGUUUUAUUAAUAAUAAUCAAAACUAUAAUAUUUAUUUUACAAGUGAAAAUAAUAAUUAAUACUAAUUUUAUAAACAUAUUUCAAUGCAAAAAAUACAAACAAUAAAUGAAAGAGAUAAGCCUUUAGUAAAACCUUUAUUACAUAAAAUAGAGACCACGUCAAAGGUGUUACGCCAUCUAAAAUGAUUGACAAAGGGUAUCACGUUAGCUAAAAAGAUUGAAAAAAAUACGCUAAAAUUUAAUUUAAGGGGUAAUAGGACCCCCGUGAAGUUGACCUGUGUCGUAGCAAAUUUAGUCAUAGUUCGAGGGUACUUGAUGUUUUUCUCGAAUAAAAAUAAGGUCAAAUUUUAAAGAUUAUAUUAUUUAUAUAAAUUAUAAAAUAUGUAAUACUCUAUUAAUGACAAUCACAUCUUAUUUACUAAUAUAGACAUUAAUGACAAUCACAUCUUAUUUACUGAUAUAGACAAUAGAUAAUAUCGUUUCUUAUCACUUGAUCCCCAUACUAAAAAUAGAAGUUUUAAUUUAUCUGCUCAAUUUGUGAAAUCAAAAGAAUUGUAUUUUAUUUUUUUCUACCAUUUUGUGUUAAAUAACUAUAUAAAGUAACAGUAUAGACAAAUUUAAAGUUUCAAAUUAUUAUUAAUAAGGUUAAUUUAGCAAAAUAUACAUCUAAGUAAAAUUUUCUUAAGGACUGUGUUAUAUCAACAAAAAGUCAAGUAAUACGAAACGAAUUUAGUAAGAGAGUGAUAAAACACGAAAAUAUGCGUAUAUGCAUGUACAUACAUAUGUAUAUAUACACAUUUAGGGGUGGGUUGUUUGGAAACAAGUUAUUUCGGGAUUAGUUAUUACAAAAUAAGUUGUAUUAAUAUGUAUGUGUGAUAAUUUAUCUCAUCACUGUGGUAUAAAUGGUGCGACAAAUAAUUUUGACACUACCUAAUACAUCUAAUUAAACNNNNNNNNNNNNNNNNNNNNNNNNNNNNNNNNNNNNNNNNNNNNNNNNNNNNNNNNNNNNNNNNNNNNNNNNNNNNNNNNNNNNNNNNNNNNNNNNNNNNNNNNNNNNNNNNNNNNNNNNNNNNNNNNNNNAGACAAACUUCGACGGUGGGGGGGGGGGGGAGGGGGAACUAUUUUCACCCUUCUUAAUCCAUAAUUAAGUAAUUGUCAUUUCUACUUAAUUAUUAAGACUCGUGUCACCCACGCCUCAUUUUAAAUCUCUUUCGUCAUCUAUGACCCAAAGCCCCUAGAAACAUGUGCAAAGCAUACCCCCUAUUUCAAAUUAUUUCUCAUAAGUUCUAUAGUUAAUUUUUUUUUUUUAAGACUCCAACCAUUUUCAUGGAUUCAUUUUAUUAAAUAUGAUGUUCAUUUUAGACAAAGAUAGAAUUGUUCCAAUGAUGAACACCCAUGUCACAUUCUAAGAUUGUAAAUUUGAGUUACCCAAAGGGUAAAAAAGACAGAAACUCCCGUUGAUAGUUAAAAAAACGACCAUUUUAAAAUCAAGAGACUGAUUAUCUUUUAAUUCUUAAUUUAUUUUUAGUAUUUCUUCUGUUCGUUUUUACCUGUAAUUAUUUCACUUUUCAAAGUCAAUUUGUAUAAAUUUUGAUUAAUAUUUUAAUAUGUAUUUUUUAAUUAUAUUAAUAUGAGAAAGAGUGCAACUCUUAGCAUUUUUCGUAUGGUUUUCGAUCAUAAAUUUUUAAAUUUUAAAUAAUAAAUUAUACAAUUUAAAAUUGUCAAAGUUCAUACAAGUUGCCAUCGAAAAACGAAAUAGUGACAAGUAAAAGCGAACGAAGAGUGUAUUAAUUAGAAUUAUUUUUCAGUAUACUUGUCAAAGUCUUAAAUUUAUUAUUUAAAAAAUUGAUAUAGUAAAAUUGUUAUUUUGUAAAGAGUGUGUCAAAUCAGUAUUAGAUCAGAGAGAAAUAAUUAUUUUUGAGAACUAUUUUUCCGUCUCAAAUUGCUUGGCCUUUUUGCAUUUUGCACAAAUGUUAAGGAGAAAUUAAUAAAUGGUCCAAAUUCAUUAAUAUGAUCUUAUUUAAUCUUGAUUAGAUGAAUCUUGAUUAUAUUUAAAAAAAGAUGAUUAAUUAUCUCUUGAAUUUUUUCAAAUACCAACUAUUUUAAGAUAAAUUAUUUUAACAAAUGUGUCAAAAAAUAAUUUUAAACGAAAGACGUACAAAUAAAAUUAAUAAAAUAAAUAUUUAAUGAGGACUUAAGUGUUGGAUGGUGAUGAAAUAGUCUCUUUUUUCCCUCGGAAUAAUAAUGUUUCACUUUUCUUACAGCGUAAACCUAUUGGUUGCUUGUAGAGGUACUUGACCACUUAAACAAGUAUCAUUUGUAGGGUGAAAUAGUCAGAUUUUUCUUAUAUCAGAAGUAUUUUUUAAGGUACUUACAAAGUAAAAUACGACAAAUAAUUGAAAUGAUUAAAUCAAUAGUGUAAUUCCAUUUUUAUCCCUCUCCAACAGCCUCUUCCUAUCGCAUUUAUUAUGACUUUAUUUAACUAGUAAAAUGUUUCCAUCAAUGAACCAAUUUAUGACAUCGGUUUUCCCAUUUACAUGCAAGUUCAAGUAUACGUGUUUUGUAUUUAAUGCAAUGGUGUCGAGAUCGAUCAUUUUAAUAAUCCUAGUAGGCGUCCCAUGAUACGCAAGAUAAACGUGCUUAUCUUUUCAUUAAAAAAUCAAACUCCCCCUUCAACGUUAAACAAUAAUCACUCCCCAUUUAUCUUGUCGUUUGGUGUGAGGUAUCAUUCUAAUAGUUCGGAGAUAAAGUUCAUGAUUAUUUAUUUUGCGUUUAAUUAGAUGUAUUAGGUAGUCUCAAAAUUAUUUGUCGGACCAUUUAUACCACAGUGAUGAGAUAAAUUAUCACACAUACAUGUUAGUACAACUUACUUUGUAAUAACUAAUCCCGAAAUAACUUGUUUCCAAACAACCCACCCCUAAGUGUGUAUAUAUACAUAUGUAUGUACAUGCAUGCGCAUAUAUUUUCGUGUUUUAUCACUCUCUUACUAAAUUUGUUUCGUAUUACUUAACUUUUUGUUGAUAUAACACAAUCCUUAAAAAAUUUUUACUUAGAGGUAUAUUUUGCUAAAUUAACCUUAUUAAUAAUAAUUUGAAACUUUAAAUUUGUCUAUACUCUACUUUAUAUAGUUAUUUAAUACUAACGUGUAGAAAAAAAAUAUAAUACAAUUCUCUUGAUUUCACAAAUUGAGCAGAUAAACUAAAACAUUUAUNNNNNNNNNNNNNNNNNNNNNNNNNNNNNNNNNNNNNNNNNNNNNNNNNNNNNNNNNNNNNNNNNNNNNNNNNNNNNNNNNNNNNNNNNNNNNNNNNNNNNNNNNNNNNNNNNUCAAAUUUGCUACGACACACGUCAACUUCACGGGGGUCCUAUUACUCCUUAAACUAAAUUUUAGCGUAUUUUUGUCAAUUUUUUUAGCUAAUGUGAUACCUUUUAUCAAUCGUUUUAGAUGACAUGACACCUUUGAUAUGGACUCCAUUUUAUUUAAUAAAGGUGCCACAUUAGCAUAAAAAAUGAUAAAAAUACGCUAAAUUUGAGUUCAGGAGAUAAUAGGACCUCUGUGAAGUUGGAGGGUGUCGUAACAACUUUGACCAUAGUUCGGGGUGGUACUAGAGACUUGUCUCUUUCAUUUAUUGUUUGUAUUUACUGCAUUGAAAUAUGUUUAUAAAAUUAGUAGUACUUAUUAUUUUUAUUUGUUAAAAUAAAUAUUAUAGUUUUGAUUAUUAUUAAUAAAACUAAUUUUCUUAUUAUGCUAAUUUACUUCAUAAAAAUUAUCAUUAGCUUAUAUAUUUCUUACUUUUUUUUUUCUAGAAGAUAAUGUUUAUAUUUUUAUGAAAAUUAUGUUAUAUGAAUAAUGUUUAUGUUUUUAUGAAAAAUUUGUUAUAUAAUUUUUUUUUAAAAUGAAAAUAUGAUAAUUUUAAAGAAGUUAAAAAAAAGAAUAAAAAAUUGAUGAUAAAGAGUAAAAUAGGAUUUUUAAAAAGUUAAUUAGGAUAAAGAGGGAGUAUGAUUAUUGUUCAAAAUUGAGAGGGGAGUUUAAUUUUUAAGAUAAAGUUGGGGAGGGAAAAUGAUUUUGACCCGUUAAUUUUCUUAAAUUGAGUUAGUGCAAGACUCAUUUUUUUUAAUCUUCAUAAUUAGAAUUAGACACAUCCAAUUUUAUUGUUUACUGUAUGUUAGACAGUGAAAAUAACAUAUUUUGUUUUAAGAGGCAUUUGAUCGGGAUUAAAAUCCAUUUUUUUUAAUUCACUUUUAUUUUCAUUCGAUUUGUUUCUGUAAUUUUGAGUUCUGUUGGUAGCAUUGUUCUCGGUUUGGGUUCAUUGAAUUGUUCACUAAAAACACCAGCACUAUUAUUUCUACAAGAUCAAAUACUUGGACCAAAUUUUGACUAGUAAUUUGGUAAUAUAUCUGCAUCCUCUAAUAGUAGUACUGAUCAUCCGUUUCAUAUUAGUUGACUCCCUAUAGACUUGAUAUACCUAUUAAGAAAAUAUUAAUUAGGGAUUUAUUUCGCCAAGUUAGCCUUAUUAAUUAUGCUUUAAAAAUAUAAAUUUGAGUAAAUAUACUUUGUAUAGUCAUUUAAUAUCAAGGAUAAUAUUAAAAAAACAUAAUAAAAUAUUCUUGAUUUCAUUAAAGCGAUAAUUAAAUUAAAAUAAAUAUUUUUAGAAAAAGAACGGGUGGGAGGGAGUAUAUCAUACCAUGUUUUAAAAGUUGAAGAUGAGAUAUUACCCAUUUCCAUGGUCCCACAAAGUGUAGUAAUAGGAGUUCGGACAGGUCAAAAUGUAGUCAAAACAUGUACGUGAGUAGUCAAUUUGACCCACAUGCAAUGCAUUUGUAAUAUUCACAAUUGUUUCUAGUCCUUUUCCAAUCCACGUCGGUGUUGGAUACUCAUGGACGUACCAUUUAAAUAUCUUAAGAUUCUCAGUUUUAAUUUGUAGCAAAUUUGUUUAAUGUAAUUUUCUCUCUCUCUCUCUCUUUAACAUUCUUGACAAAGAAAUUGAAGUCACUCCUCUUUUUCGUUUGAAGUAUAAACAUUUGCUAUCCUGAUAUCCACUAGAUAUUAGUAAUUUAUCAAAUUUUAGGACUCCAUAUUUAACUCAGGGAAGAUGAGUUCCAUACACUUCGCAUCAAGUACUAGUAAAGAGCAAAGCAUCAUCAAUCAAAAUAGAACUAAAAAGUUGCAAAUCUUUUUUCUAGAAACAUGUUGCAUACUACAUUAAUUAACAAACACUAACCAAAUGCCCAAAUCAAGCUAAAAAGGAAAAAGAAAAAAAAAAUUAAGACAGGGAAGGGAUGGGGGUGGGGUGAAAUUGUUGUGACUCGCAAAUUUACACAUAGAACCCGUGCAUCUUGAUCUCACUAUCGUUCCAACUCAUAAUGUCGUGCGAAAUUGAGGGUCGAAUAGGUCUUUUAACCCUAUUUCAUUUCCAGCAUGAAUAUCGGUAUCGAUGAGCUCAUAGGUGGUGAUGGCGAGUGAUGUUGGCUGGAGCCGGACUUGGAGCGCCAACCUGAGGGAUGAGUGGUGGUGGGGAUCGCGGUGGAGGUGGACAUUGGUAACACUUGGUGAAAAGACCAAAUGUGUCGAUUUGAUGAAUGAAAUUGGUCAUGCUAGCCCAACCACCAAAUCCAAACCCAACAAUCAGUACCCAAACCACCACAAAGAUGUUUAUCGUAAAUGUUCCAGCCCAACGGCCCACGAAUUUUGGGGGUUGCUCUACCGCAUUCUGCAUAGAGUGAAGCUAAAAAUCAGCACAUAUCCAUAACAUAACAAAAGUAUGAAAGACACAAACAAAUAACCUAGGAAUUAUUACUUCCAUUCUUCAAUUACCAUUUAACUAUGUUAAUAGUGUAAAUACGUAUCCAUUUAAGUAAUUUAUACCGUUAGUAUUAGAAGUACUUUUA
rnacentral:lncRNA from 1 species